AAAAAUCUAAUCUGCCCAAUGAUUAAGAAUUGAAUGGCCGCGGUAUAUUGACCGUGCGAAGGUAGCAUAAUCAUUUGCUUUUUAAUUGGAGGCUGGAAUGAAUGAUUUGACGGAAAAGGUCUGUCUUAAUUUUAAGUUUUUAAGUUUACUUUUUAGUGAGAAGGCUAAAAUGUUAUCAAGGGACGAGAAGACCCUAUUAAGCUUUAUUUUUAUUAUUUUUGGUUUUAUGUUUUUAUUUACAAAAAAUAGUAAAAAUUUUACUGGGGCGGUAGAGAAAGAGAAAGAUCUUUUUUUAAAAAUUAAAACAUUUAUGUUAAUUUUUGAUCCAUUAUUAAUGAUAAAAAGAAGAAGUUACUAUAGGGAUAACAGCGUAAUUUUUUCGGAGAGUUCAUAUCGGCGAAGAAGUUUGCGACCUCGAUGUUGAAUUAAAGAGUCAGUAAGGCGGAGAAGUUUUAUAUGAGGGUCUGUUC
rnacentral:rRNA from 1 species